GACGAACGCUGGCGGCGUGCCUAAUACAUGCAAGUCGAACGCAGUGGCGGACGGGUGAGUAACACGUGGGUAACCUACCCAUCAGAGGGGGAUAACACUUGGAAACAGGUGCUAAUACCGGAUACUAAAGGAUGGACCUGCGAUGCAUUAGCUAGUUGGUAAGGUAACGGCUUACCAAGGCGAUGAUGCAUAGCCGAGUGUAAGUAGUGAUCGGCCACAUUGAGACUGAAACACGGCCCAAACUCCUACGGGAGGCAGCAGUAGGGAAUCUUCCACUAUGGACGAAAGUCUGAUGGAGCAACGCCGCGUGAGGGAAGAAGGUUUUCGGAUCGUAAAGCUCUGUUGUUGGUGAAGCGGUAAUGAACCGGAAAGUCACGGCUAACUACGUGCCAGAGCCGCGGUAAUAG
rnacentral:rRNA from 1 species